rnacentral:rRNA from 1 species
GCUUGUCUCAAAGAUUAAGCCAUGCAUGUCUAAGUAUAAAUGGUAUACAGUGAAACUGCGAAUGGCUCAUUAAAACAGUUAUAGUUUAUUUGGUAUUCGAAUUUACAUGGAUAACCGUGGUAAUUCUAGAGCUAAUACAUGCAUUACGCCUGACUUUUCGGAAGGGCAGUAUUUAUUAGAUAACAGACCAUCUCCCCCAAAGGAAAUGUGGUGAAUCAUAAUAACUGAACUAAGCGCAUGCUUUGGCGGCGCUGUUUCAUUCAAGUUUCUGCCCUAUCAGCUUUCGAUGGUAGGGUAUUGGCCUACCAUGGCGUUCACGGGUAACGGAGAAUUAGGGUUCGAUUCCGGAGAGGGAGCCUGAGAGAUGGCUACCACAUCCAAGGAAGGCAGCAGG